rnacentral:rRNA from 1 species
GAGUCAUUGGGACUCUACUAAACCUAAAGGCGCAAUGAAAGUGAAGGUCCGCCUCGCGCGGACCUAGGGAGGAUGGGCGGUCCGCGGACCGGCCCCGCACUCCCGGGGCGUCUCGUUCUCAUCGCGAGAAGAGGCGCACCCAGAGCGUACACGCUGGGACCCGAAAGAUGGUGAACUAUGCCUGGUCAGGACGAAGUCAGGGGAAACCCUGAUGGAGGUCCGUAGCGAUUCUGACGUGCAAAUCGAUCGUCGGAACUGGGUAUAGGGGCGAAAGACUAAUCGAACCUUCUAGUAGCUGGUUCCCUCCGAAGUUUCCCUCAGGAUAGCUGGCGCUCGCUGUUGCGAGUCUCAUUCGGUAAAGCGAAUGAUUAGAGGCAUUGGGGUCGAAACGGCCUCAACCUAUUCUCAAACUUUAAAUGGGUGAGAUCUCCGGCUUGCUUGAAAAGUGAAGCCGCGAGUAUCGGAUCAGAGUGCCAAGUGGGCCACUUUUGGUAAGCAGAACUGGCGCUGUGGGAUGAACCAAACGCCGAGUUAAAGCGCCUAAAUCGACGCUUAUGGGAUACCAUGAAAGGCGUUGGUAACUUAAGACAGCAGGACGGUGG